UACGGGGGGGGCAAGCGUUGUUCGGAAUUACUGGGCGUAAAGGCUCGUAGGCGGCCAACUAAGUCAUACGUGAAAUCCCUCGGCUUAACCGGGGAACUGCGUCUGAUACUGGAUGGCUUGAGAUUGGGAGAGGGAUGCGGAAUUCCAGGUGUAGCGGUGAAAUGCGUAGAUAUCUGGAGGAACACCGGUGGCGAAGGCGGCAUCCUGGACCAACACUGACGCUGAGGAGCGAAAGCCAGGGGAGCAAGCGGG
rnacentral:rRNA from 1 species